rnacentral:rRNA from 1 species
UACGGGGGGGGCAAGCGUUGUUCGGAAUUACUGGGCGUAAAGGGCGCGUAGGCGGAUUGUUAAGUCAGGGGUGAAAUCCUGGAGCUCAACUCCAGAACUGCCUUUGAUACUGGCAAUCUAGAGUCCGGAAGAGGUGAGUGGAACUCCUAGUGUAGAGGUGGAAUUCGUAGAUAUUCGCAAGAACACCAGUGGCGAAGGCGGCUCACUGGCCCGGUACUGACGCUGAGGUGCGAAAGCGUGGGGAGCAAACAGG